CACACUACACACACAGACCCAUGGGGAGGAUACUGGUGCGGCUUCCUCUGAUGAAGAACAAGUGGUGUUUGGGUGUGAAGUGGUGGACGGAGAGAGCGGCUGAGUGAGUGAGGGAAGAGGAGGAGGAGAGAGAGAGUGAGUGAGUGGAUGAAUAAGGGACUGAAGGAAUUUCAUUUAAGAUCUCAGCAGCCGACAGAGCAUCGUGACCAAUAGGAUCAGGGUGUACCGCAGGGGGUCCUGCCGUAUCCAGAGCAACCCCCUGUCCCACACACACACACACACACACACACACACACACACGCGCCCGCGCACAGAUCCAGGCAGGCAAUCCCUCACUCCACACCCACCGACCGACACACGGAUGCGCACACACUUACACAGGCAUCCCUCAUCCCAAACCCACCCCGCACACACGAACACACACACACAUACUACAAUGACACAGAACCCCCCCCCACUAAAUCUACACACACAAAUGAGACACCCUGGAAAAACCGCUGUACCAUGACGUGUCUGUGUGUGUGUCCGUGUCUGUGUGUCUGUGCGUGUUCUGUUCUAGCAGAGUCGUGUUUUUAAGGCCAUGUUGAUUUUCUUUAUCUUCUUAGCGGAGGCUUUUUGUCUUCAAAAGGCAGUUCAACCGAGGCCACUCAGAGAUUACGUCGCAGCCAGUCUGGGGAUGUUUAUGCAUGUGCUUGUGUCUGUUUACGUGGGCGGGGAUUGUGGUUGCCUCGCAUGGAUGACCAAGGCCUCGGGCUGGUUUUAAGGUUGCUAAUAGCGCAGAGUCUGUUUGAUCUAGACUGCGUUUCCCAAUCCCAAGGUUUAGAGAAUAUGAAAAAAAAAAUAUGAUAAUGUGCCGUCUAUUAUUAAAAAUCGCUCUCGUUUUGACUUGUUUUGUCACGGUUAAGCACGCUGUGAGCGAGCUGCUUUUUGCUACGUUUGCCUUAACAAAAGCUGUCCUUCUCAACCUGCUCCUCUUAAUGUGUUUCCAGACACAAGUCGUCUCCCUGAGAUAUACAUGUCGUGCUCAGUUUCCCACCUCAAAAUACUUCCCCUCCAUCAGGCCUGUCCGUCAUUCCUCUUUCUUUCUCCUUUUUUUCCUGCUCACCAGCCUGCCCUGAAACACAGUUUGGCCCGCUGCUCUUUAUGAGGAACCGUGAAGAAUCCUGUUUUUCCUAAGUGUCACGGUUAUUAGUGCUCCAUCUGCCUCGAAGCAAC
ensembl:lncRNA